CCAUUUGAAUUCAUUAACGACCUUUUAGAGUGGUAGCGGCGUAGCGCAACUGCUAAACCUCCUGGUUAUGAUCGUUCAGUUAGGCGAUCCACUUAAUUCUCAACGCCAAAAAACAUGGAAGCAAUCUGGAAAGCCUUCGAGCUGCUGCUCGUCUUAGCAUUAUUUGUUGCAUUUGGAUUAGCAGCCGCGAUCGUUUUCGAAACAUUCAGAAGAAGAUUCAAUCACGCUCAUCUUGAAGCUCCUCCUGUGUUCGAAGAUCCAAAUUCUUUGAAACCGGUCCGCUGUCCACAUAUCAUUGAUGAUCCUGCUGAAAAGUAUUUGUCAUUGAUAGUUCCUGCUUACAAUGAAGAGAAUAGGCUUCCUGGGGCUCUUGAUGAAACACUGAAUUAUCUUCAGCAGCGAGCUGCUAAGGAAAAAUCAUUUACAUAUGAGGUGAUUAUAAUUGAUGAUGGAAGUGCUGAUGGAACAAAAAGAGUAGCUUUUGAAUUUGUGAAGAGGCACACAGUUGAAAAUGUGAGAGUCAUUCUAUUGGGAAGCAAUCAUGGAAAGGGGGAAGCCAUAAGAAAAGGAAUGCUUCACUCACGUGGUGCGCUGCUUCUAAUGCUUGAUGCUGAUGGGGCUACAAAGAUAGAUGAUCUAGAAAAGUUAGAAAACCAGAUUCUUGCAGUUGCUAGAAAGGAACGCCAGUUUGGAGAUUCUGCUGCUAGUGAUUCGUCAUUAAGAAUUUCAGAUGUCUCAGUGGCUGCAUUUGGUUCUCGGGCACAUCUCGAGGAGAAGGCUCUUGCAACGAGGAAGUGGUACCGGAAUUUCUUAAUGAAAGGUUUCCAUAUUGUUGUUCUCUUAGCUGCUGGACCUGGAGUCCGUGAUACUCAGUGUGGGUUCAAGAUGUUUACCAGAGCUGCUGCCAGGAAACUUUUCCUAAACAUCCGCUUGAAAAGGUGGUGCUUUGAUGUUGAACUAGUUUAUCUAUGCAAAUGGUUCCGCGUUCCUGUCAUUGAGAUAUCCGUAAAUUGGACUGAAAUCCCCGGCUCAAAGGUCAACCUUUUGAGCAUCCCCAAUAUGUUAUGGGAGUUGGCAAUCAUGUCAUUGGGUUAUAGAAGUGGCAUCUGGAAAAUUUACAGUUGAGCUUUUUUGUCGCCUCUCCACCAGGAAGUCUGCAAACACUAUCCGAAGGUUUGCUUUGGGUGAAACUCGCUUUGUGACCCUAACUGGCAAUGAACCACAAGGAGAAUAACUAGCCUAGAUUGUCUACUUGUGUAUAGUUCACCGGCUUGUGGUUACAUUUAGAUGUGCCACCUAAAGCAGGAGGGCGAGAGUGCAAGGCAUAUGUUUGCUACAUGUACAGAGGCGCUGGGAUUUUGGACUAAGCUUGGGAUUCCAGUGAACAACAUUGAACAUGGACCUUGAAUUAUUGGGAAAGCUGGAGACAAGCCCAAGAGGGGCCUCAUCAGCCGGACGAAACUGUACACCAUAAUAAUGCAAGUUGGAUGCCUUCGCCAGUAGGGAAGAUGGAGCUGAAUUCGGAUGCUACUAUAAAUUUGCCAGCCAGCCCAAUGGGUUAUGGUUGGGUGCUACGUGGGGAUGAUGGAGCUUUUCUGGCCGCGAAGAACAUGCGGGUGCCUGGAACGUAUAGCAUCAAGGAGGCCGAGGCAAUGAGUUUGAGAGAGGCUUUAAGCUUGUUAAAAAACACGGGCAUGGGUGAUGUUGUAGUAGAGAUAGACUCUCAGCUUGUUUAUAAUGCUCUUCUUUCUAGUUCA